rnacentral:rRNA from 1 species
UAGGGGGCAACCCUGAUCCAGCCAUGCCGCGUGAUCGAUGAAGGCCUUAGGGUUGUAAAGAUCUUUCAGCUGGGAAGAUAAUGACGGUACCAGCAGAAGAAGCCCCGGCUAACUCCGUGCCAGCAGCCGCGGUAAUACGGAGGGGGCUAGCGUUGUUCGGAAUUACUGGGCGUAAAGCGCACGUAGGCGGACCAGUCAGUUGGGGGUGAAAUCCCGGGGCUCAACCCCGGAACUGCCUCCAAAACUGCUGGUCUGGAGGUCGAGAGAGGCGAGUGGAAUUCCGAGUGUAGAGGUGAAAUUCGUAGAUAUUCGGAGGAACACCAGUGGCGAAGGCGGCUCGCUGGCUCGAUACUGACGCUGAGGUGCGAAAGCGUGGGGAGCGAACAGGAUUAGAUACCCUGGUAGUCCACGCCGUAAACUAUGAGAGCUAGACGUCGGGCGGCUUGCCGUUCGGUGUCGCAGCUAACGCAUUAAGCUCUCCGCCUGGGGAGUACGGCCGCAAGGUUA